GGGCCUGUAGCUCAGCUGUAUAGAGCAACCGCCUUCUAAGCGGUCGGUCACUGGUUAGAGUCCAGUCAGGCCCG
rnacentral:tRNA from 2 species